GCGCACGUUUCGUCGAUUUUCGUACGCCGGCAAUACAAAGGGCGAAUAUGCGUACACGGCCGACAACACACUCCACUCCGGUUGUCCGUAAGCGACGGCUGCCUACAGACAUGAACUCUAUCUGCACACACGCGUGUUUUCCCUUUUAACUUUCCCCUCUGAAACCGUGGCACGUCCGUCAACGGCCUAUCAGCUUUUUCGUGCUCGUGCACACGUUACAGUUUACGAGAGCUACACGCAUACCGUAGAACAUUCGAAAUUCCGGCCGCGGCCGCACCGGAUAUUUUCGAUUUUUGGAUUGCGAGUGACGCGAACAAUAACGGACCCGCGAGCGUUAUUGGUUUUGCUGCGUGACGUACGUUUCCUCCGGCCGUCCGCGCCGAUUAUCGACGAUAUCGAAUUUCGAUCCGAGAAUGAAUUUUCGUUUUUCACCGUGUAUUGCGCGUGCAGCGGAACAACUGUUUAAGUUAUAAUACACACAUUAUACAGUUUUUUA